rnacentral:rRNA from 1 species
AACGAACGCUGGCGGCAUGCCUAACACAUGCAAGUCGAACGAGACCUUCGGGUCUAGUGGCGCACGGGUGCGUAACGCGUGGGAACCUGCCCUUAGGUUCGGAAUAACUCCCCGAAAGGGGUGCUAAUACCGGAUAAUGUCUUCGGACCAAAGAUUUAUCGCCUUUGGAUGGGCCCGCGUUGGAUUAGCUAGUUGGUAGGGUAAAAGCCUACCAAGGCGACGAUCCAUAGCUGGUCUGAGAGGAUGAUCAGCCACACUGGGACUGAGACACGGCCCAGACUCCUACGGGAGGCAGCAGUGGGGGAUAUUGGACAAUGGGCGAAAGCCUGAUCCAGCAAUGCCGCGUGAGUGGUGAAGGCCUUAGGGUUGUAAAGCUCUUUUACCCGGGAUGAUAAUGACAGUACCGGGAGAAUAAGCGCCGGCUAACUCCGUG